CACUCGUUCUCGUGAGUCUGCGCAUUUAUACUAAAAAUACGCCUCUGAAGGCAAAGUGUGUCCUUGUAAAAAUUCCGUAUUUUAAUGCCUGCUCUGGAUUAAAUAAAACAUACAAUCCACGAAAGAAACUACGUUUUCCACACAACGGUUCGACAUCUUAGUCUAGUAUCUUCAUCAUGGACACAGAGUAGAGACAUACAGAGACGUAACUAGUGUACCCACUUUUUUGUGCGCGCGCUCGGCAAGUUACUAGAUGCAUGCAUCUGAUUGGAUGACGACCUGAUGACGACUCACUUUAAACUUGCUGAGCAUGCGCAGUUGAUCAUUUUUCGCCCGGUCGCCAGAAAAAAAGUGGGUACAUGAUAACGUAAUCUUUCACAGUGUUUACAACGGUC